CACUGUUUCUCGCACAAUGCCUAAAUGUGGGUUCCAGGGUUAUGAUUAUUAGCCUUUAUUAGGGCACGCAAAGAAAACGCAGCUUUAUAUCGUUAAACCCAGCUUUAGUAUUGAAAGAUAAAUCAAUGUCAUAAUUGACAACUAAUUUAAUCUAUAACCUCAAUUUAAAAAAAAUAAAUACAAAAGACAGUAAUGGUUUAAUACUUAAGUUAUGAUUAUGAAAUUUAAAAUUAUGAGAAAGAAAAUAAAGUAUAAUUUAGCACUUAAUACUUAUUCAAUUGUACAUCUGACAAUACCUCGCAUAUACGUAUAUACUCAGUUCCCAAUUUCAAAUCAAAUCAGUGAUGGUGGUUAUAUAAACAAUUUUACUAAAUUGAAUUUAAAUUCUGUGAUUAUUUCUACAUAUUAAUUCAAAAAAAAAUAAUCUAUAAAUUGCGACGAACCGAUAAAUCAAUACCUGGAGAAACCAAGCCAAAAAGAAAAAGGGGCUACCUGAAAUUCUGAGUCUCUCCGACUGGUAGCAGGGCCCACCUGAUCUGAAUGGGGCUCCUUUGUUGGCAGCUAUACGUGUGGAUCAAAAGAGGCAGCAGCAGAUCGACCAGUUAGGAUGCUUCCAGAAUGUCUAGCAGGUAGUGGAGGGCAAUCGGUAUUAGGUGUAGUUCCGGAGGUGAUGAUCCGAGCGACUUGAUGUGGUAACACGUGGAGUAGCAAGUGAGGUGGAAGCAGUAACAAUAAAAAUGCAGCAAAAGCAGAAGCAGAGGAUAAGCAGAAGGUACAGGAAGGCCUAAAAAUGGGGACCACACAUGAGGUUCGACAUGGCUGUCAAUUUUAUGGCAUUUUUGUGUGGAUCGGGUAUGUUAGGAGGGACCAUCUUAACGGUAUAUCAUAUCUGUGUAGUAUGUAUAUUUAUGUAUGAUUUUUAAAUAAAUUAUUUUAUGAAACUA